rnacentral:rRNA from 1 species
GUAUAGGGGGUGAAUUCUGCCCAAUGGUUGUAUAGUGAAACCGAGGAUUAACGUCCGAGGCUAAGCCCAAUUGAAUGGCCGCGGUAUACCUGACCGUGAUAAUGUAGCACAAUAAAUAGCCAAUUAAUUGUUGGCGGGUAUGAAUGGAAUCACGAGGGUCUUACUGUCUCAAGAGGAAAGCCGAUGAAAUUAUAGUUGUAGUGAAGAUACUACAUAGACAUUGUAAGACGAAAAGACCCUAUCGAGCUUUACUGGACACUGACAGUGUUAGUGUAAGAAGGACUAUCCCCUACUGGGUUAUCUUUUUGCGCUUAACUAUUAGUCGGUCGGACAGUUUAGUUGGGGCGACUACCUUUGAAUAAGAAACGAAGGCGAGCUUAUGGUGUACUGCUAAUCUCAUUAGCCUGACAGUGAGGGGGACACCCCGAGCUGGCACCCCCCCCUGUGGGGGUGGGCGAUAAUGACCCGAUACUCGUACUCCAAAGGCAGUAUCGAAAGCGGAUAAAAGCUACCGUAGGGAUAACAGCGUAAUAUCAUUGGAGAGUUCUUAUCGAGGAUGGUGUUUGCGACCUCGAUGUUGAAUUGCGGUGCCCUGGUGCUGUAGAAGGUACCUUGGGUUGGUC